UGGUGUUAAAGCAUCUAGAACGGGCCGAGGUCAUCUGUUGUGGAACAACAGAACCGCUAAGGCACUUCCCACUGCCCAAGGACACGGCUGCCAGGACUUCGAAGGGAUGUGUUGUCUGAAUUUAUCAGAUCAUGGUGAGUCCAUUCACAAGAGUAUAACCUGGUAGAAAGGCCGUAUUGACAAGAUCAAAAAGGAAACAUCGACUUUUGAUGACUGGUUGCAGAACCUGUUUGGGACAAUCCUGGGGUGGUUAAGCAGCUUAUUAGGAGAAGGCUUACGGUUAUUUGUUAUUUUCAUAAUAAUUCUGCUAUGCGCUUGUAUUGUCUUUGCUUGCAUUAAGAAGAGCUUAACUAAGGUAGUUAGCCAGGUGUGGGUUGCUCAAAAGAAAAAGAGGGAAUUGUGGAAGAAUUUCUCACCAGUCGAGGACAUAAAGUCAUAAGCAUGGGUAACUUGCGCUGAGAACGUCCUUGGUUCCCAGCGAGGCUAGGAAAUCGAGAUGUAAAUAACUGAGCACCCCACACACAGCUGCAGUGGGCAGAGACUAGAUAACCAAGGGGGCUGGAGUGGGUGGUCUGGAAGGCUGACCCUUAGAAUGUUGUGAUAAGUUAACCUAUGCACACCUUACAUGUAACUCUGGACCCUCUGACUGUAACCAAUCUUAAGCUGAGCACGCCUCUUGCUAGAAUGCAUAUAAGUCACUGUAUCACGGAAAUAAAGUGGAUUUGACCAUCUAA